rnacentral:lncRNA from 1 species
UGUGCUACACUGGCUCCUCCUCUUCUACUACCCAUUGAUCUGCUGUGUCUGUGACAAAUAUUGUGUCUAAGUCUAUCGGCCCAUAGUCUUCAAGCUUCCUUCUUAUUUGUCGCUCUCUGAGGUUUAAAUUAUAAUGAACGUAGACUAGUUUAUGAAGCUUCUUAGAAGCGAGUCGAUUCCUCCUAGUAGUGUGCAACCAUUGGGACGU